ACCAUGCAAUGCAACCGGUCCAAUGGUAAAAAAUGGAGAAGGCAAAUGGAAUAUGCCACCCUUGAAAUGCAUUUGAUCUUCCGCAAACUGUUUUUUGAUAGUACUUGUGACAAGAUCAUCAAGUGGUUCUGCAAUUCCUUCAUACCUCUUUGAAAAUCUGCGCAAAUGUAUUUCUGACAAUUUCUGGAUAAUUAGAAAAUUUCUAAAAGACACAACCGGGAUAGACUAUGAGAUCCAUAUCAUUCAAGAGGCAGCCGCCAAUGGAUCUAUCCUCAGUUUGGAGUCGGACAUGCACAACCAUGACAAAUCGGGCGCUGAAACCACCGAUCUCCAUCUUCCAUUGGCACAUGUAUCCGAUCUUUUCAAGUACCAUUACAUGCCAAAUUGGAAAUUGGGAUACAUGGUCAACUACCCCGGUGAUUUCAAUGGGAAAAUCUCUAAUUACGUCGCAAAUUUGAAGGAUCUACAAAAUGCAGGAAUACCACCUGCUGAUGUCAUCUACAUGACACAUGGUAUUGAAAUUACCGGAUCCUAAAAAAAAACAACAGGCGGUGUUCAACCAAAAUUUAUCGUGUUUAAUGGACAAAUGCUACUAUAUGAUGUUAAGAUAAUACGUUCCCCUGACAGUAACGGCAUAGCAGACUGUAUAUAUCCAUCGGUAGCUGGUUUUUUGUCGGCAGUUGGAGAACACGGAGUUUCUCGUACGGUUCGGAAUGCGAGCAGGCGUAAGCUUCAAGUAGUUCCAAAAUCGGACUUAAAUUCGUUGGAUUGGCGGUCCUACGCCGUCAUGUCGAAGACUUCUUUAAUGAUUCAUUUUGUUUAUCUGGAUGAACUCAUUUUGUCUCUGUUUGAGUUUGUUGUAUGAAUUGAUAUGGCAACGUCAUUCGACAUGUUUAAUCGAAUUUUGUUUUUGUAAAUGUAAUAUAGGGCAAGUUCAAAAGCCUUAUAAAUAAA